UGCAGUCGAGGGGCAGCAUGGUCUUAGCUUGCUAAGGCCGAUGGCGACCGGCGCACGGGUGAGUAACACGUAUCCAACCUGCCGUCUACUCUUGGACAGCCUUCUGAAAGGAAGAUUAAUACAAGAUGGCAUCAUGAGUCCACAUGUUCACAUGAUUAAAGGUAUUCCGGUAGACGAUGGGGAUGCGUUCCAUUAGAUAGUAGGCGGGGUAACGGCCCACCUAGUCUUCGAUGGAUAGGGGUUCUGAGAGGAAGGUCCCCCACAUUGGAACUGAGACACGGUCCAAACUCCUACGGGAGGCAGCAGUGAGGAAUAUUGGUCAAUGGGCGAGAGCCUGAACCAGCCAAGUAGCGUGAAGGAUGACUGCCCUAUGGGUUGUAAACUUCUUUUAUAAAGGAAUAAAGUCGGGUAUGCAUACCCGUUUGCAUGUACUUUAUGAAUAAGGAUCGGCUAACUCCGUGCCAGCAGCCGCGGUAAUACGGAGGAUCCGAGCGUUAUCCGGAUUUAUUGGGUUUAAAGGGAGCGUAGAUGGAUGUUUAAGUCAGUUGUGAAAGUUUGCGGCUCAACCGUAAAAUUGCAGUUGAUACUGGAUAUCUUGAGUGCAGUUGAGGCAGGCGGAAUUCGUGGUGUAGCGGUGAAAUGCUUAGAUAUCACGAAGAACUCCGAUUGCGAAGGCAGCCUGCUAAGCUGCAACUGACAUUGAGGCUCGAAAGUGUGGGUAUCAAACAGGAUUAGAUACCCUGGUAGUCCACACGGUAAACGAUGAAUACUCGCUGUUUGCGAUAUACGGCAAGCGGCCAAGCGAAAGCGUUAAGUAUUCCACCUGGGGAGUACGCCGGCAACGGUGAAACUCAAAGGAAUUGACGGGGGCCCGCACAAGCGGAGGAACAUGUGGUUUAAUUCGAUGAUACGCGAGGAACCUUACCCGGGCUUAAAUUGCAGAUGAAUUACGGUGAAAGCCGUAAGCCGCAAGGCAUCUGUGAAGGUGCUGCAUGGUUGUCGUCAGCUCGUGCCGUGAGGUGUCGGCUUAAGUGCCAUAACGAGCGCAACCCUUGUUGUCAGUUACUAACAGGUUAUGCUGAGGACUCUGACAAGACUGCCAUCGUAAGAUGUGAGGAAGGUGGGGAUGACGUCAAAUCAGCACGGCCCUUACGUCCGGGGCUACACACGUGUUACAAUGGGGGGUACAGAGGGCCGCUACCACGCGAGUGGAUGCCAAUCCCCAAAACCUCUCUCAGUUCGGACUGGAGUCUGCAACCCGACUCCACGAAGCUGGAUUCGCUAGUAAUCGCGCAUCAGCCACGGCGCGGUGAAUACGUUCCCGGGCCUUGUACACACCGCCCGUCAAGCCAUGGGAGCCGGGGGUACCUGAAGUGCG
rnacentral:rRNA from 1 species